rnacentral:tRNA from 1 species
GGUGCCAUCGCCAAGUGGUAAGGCAAGGGUCUGCAACAUCCUCAUCGCCGGUUCAAAUCCGGCUGGCACCUCCA